rnacentral:RNase_P_RNA from 1 species
CCAGAGGGUCGGGCGGCCGCUGGAACCAUGGUUCCAGAGGAAAGUCCGGGCUCCAGCGAGAAACGGUGCCGGGUAACUCCCGGCUGCGGCGACGCAAGGGACAGUGCCACAGAAAACAAACCGCCUCAAUUUAUUGGGGUAAGGGCGAAACGGUGCGGCAAGAGCGCACCGCGCGGCUGGCAACAGCAGCGGCACGGCAAACCCCACCGGGAGCAAGACCGAAUAGGGGUGAAAAAUGGGUAAUUCUCGUCCUUUUCACCCGGGUUGGUCGCUUGAACGCACCGGCAACGGCGCGUCGAGAUGAAUGGUCGCCCCGCGUCGCAAGGCGCGGACAGAACCCGGCUUACAGACCCUCUGGCCCU